GGGCCCGCACAAGCGGUGGAGUAUGUGGUUUAAUUCGAUGAUACGCGAGGAACCUUACCAGGGCUUAAAUGUAACGGGACAGAUCUAGAGAUAGAUCCUUCUUCGGACUCAUUACAAGGUGCUGCAUGGUUGUCGUCAGCUCGUGCCGUGAGGUGUCAGGUUAAGUCCUAUAACGAGCGCAACCCCCAUCGUUAGUUGCCAACGAGUAAUGUCGGGAACUCUAACGAAACUGCCGGUGCAAACCGUGAGGAAGGUGGGGAUGACGUCAAAUCAUCACGGCCCUUACGUCCUGGGCUACACACGUGCUACAAUGGUCGGUACAGAGAGCAGCCACUACGCGAGUAGGAGCAAAUCUUCAAAGCCGAUCUCAGUUCGGAUUGGAGUCUGCAACUCGACUCUAUGAAGCUGGAAUCGCUAGUAAUCGCGCAUC
rnacentral:rRNA from 1 species